rnacentral:sRNA from 1 species
UAUUCUGCCCCACGGGGAAGGAUGAGAAGCUUCGACCAAGGUUCGACUCGAGCGAAGCGAGAGAACGUUGCCGCAGGCAAUGGCCCGAAGGGCGAGGCGCUUUAGCGCCGAGUAAUCCUUCCCCCACCACUU